rnacentral:rRNA from 1 species
AAGCUACACAGAGGACAGGGUGGAUGCCUUGGCGCUUUGGACCGAAGAAGGACGCGGAGACCGGCGAAACGUUCCGGGGGAGCUGCAUGCAAGCGUUGAUCCCGGAGAGUCCGAAUGGGGCAACCCCUCCAGAGUGAUGUCUGGAGACCCACAUCUGAAUCCAUAGGAUGUGAGGAGGUCAGUGGGCGAACUGAAACAUCUCAGUAGCCCGAGGAAGAGAAAUCAACCGAGAUGCCCGGAGUAGUGGCGAGCGAAACGGGAGCAGCCCAAACCGUUCCUUCGCAAGAAGGGGCGGGGUUGUAGGACCGACAACAAGCAAGUUUGGUGUACUUGAACAGGCUGGAACGCCUGACCAGAGCGGGUGAGAGUCCCGUAGAGCAAGCACUGAGCAAGCGGGUCGGGAUCCUGAGUACCACGAGACACGUGCAAUCUUGUGGGAAGCUGGGGGGACCACCCUCCAAGGCUACCUAUCCAAAGCGACCGAUAGUGAACCAGUACCGUGAGGGAAAGGUGAAAAGCACCCCGAGAGGGGGAUGAAAGAGUCCCUGAAACCCUGUCCUUACCAGCAGUCAGAGGUCACUGUACUCUUGGAGUACUUAGGACUAAUGGCGUGCCUUUUGUAGAAUGAUCCGGCGAGUGCAUCGGCGUCGCCUGGUUAACUCUCGCUAAAGAGAGGGAGCCAUAGGGCAACCGAGUGUGAAGAGCGCGUCUGUGGCGUCGAUGCGACCCGAAACCGUGUGAGCUACCCAUGAGCAGAGUGAAGCGAAGGUGAAACUUCGUCGAGGCUCGCACCCACCAGUGUUGCAAAACUGGGGGAGGACUUGUGGGUAGGGGUGAAAUGCCAAUCGAACACGGAGAUAGCUGGUUCUCCCCGAAAUGUAUUGAGGUACAGCCACCAGAGAGCAUCUGUUGGAGGUAGAGCACUGUUUGGGCUAGGGGCUAAGUGCUAGUUACCAACCCCAGGCAAACUGCGAAUGCCAACAGCAUAGACUGGUGAGUGAGACGGCGGGGGCUAAGCUUCGUCGUCAAAAGGGAAACAGCCCGGACCACCGGCUAAGGUCUCCAACUCAAUGCUCAGUGUCAAAGGCAGUCUCUGCGCAAUAACAGCCAGGAUGUUGGCUUAGAAGCAGCCACCAUUGAAAGAGUGCGUAAUAGCUCACUGGUCGAGUGCAGAGGCACCGACAACGUAGCGAGGCUCAAGCAUUGGACCGACGCCGUGGAUUAUCACCUUCGUGGUGAUAAUGGUAGGGGAGCGUUCUGCGUGCCGAGAAGCCAGAUCGUGAGGACUGGUGGAGCGCGCAGAAGUGAGAAUGCCGGAAUGAGUAGCGUAAUGUCUGUGUGAAUCAGACACACCGAAAGCCUGAGGGUUCCUGGGCACCGUUGGUCGUCCCAGGGUCAGUCGGGUCCUAAGCCGAGGACGUCAAAGUCGUAGGCGAUGGCAAGCAGGUAGGAUAUUCCUGCACCGGAGACGGUCGUUAUGAGAGAAGGGGGGACGCGGUAGGGAAGGUGAUCCCAGCAAGUGGACAGGCUGGGUGCCUUGUCUGAAGCGCGUGAUCGAGGCAAAUCCCGAUCACACAUCGCGUGACAGCAGGGCCGAGUCCGCGCAAGCGGGCGGUAGUCAUCGGUCCCCAGGCCGCCAAGAAAAGCCUCUAUCCAGAACGUUCUCCGCCCGUACCGCAUACCGACACAGGUAGGCAAAGAGGAAUCUCUUCAGGUGAACGAGCGACCCUCUGUUAAGGAACUCGGCAAUUUGACCCCGUACCUUUGGAAGAAGGGGGGCCUUAGUAACUUCUGGGUUUAUCCCGGGGGUGAGGAGGCGGCACAGAAUAGGCCCAACCGACUGUUUACCAAAAACACAGGUCUCUGCCAACACGAAAGUGGAUGUAUAGGGGCUGACUCCUGCCCAGUGCCGGAAGGUUACGAGGAGCGGUGUGCGUAGCUGCGAAUCUAAGCCCCGGUGAACGGCGGCCGUAACUAUAACGGUCCUAAGGUAGCGAAAUUCCUUGUCGGGUAAGUUCCGACCCGCACGAAAGGAGUAACGAGUUGGGCGCUGUCUCAACAGAGGACUCGGCGAAAUUGAAGUACCCGUGAAGAUACGGGUUUCCCACGACAGGACAAAAAGACCCCGUGGAGCUUUACUACAGUUUGGCCUGGAUACGAGAUAUGGCGUGCGUAGGAUAGGUGGGAGCCGGAGAGACCAGCCUUGUGGGGUUGGAGGAGGCAGCAGUGAAAUACCACUCUCGUGAUGUGUUGUAUCUCAUCUUUACCCGUGAUCCGGGAAGGAGACAGGGCCAGAUGGGUAGUUUGACUGGGGCGGUCGCCUCCCAAAGAGUAACGGAGGCGCUCAAAGGUUCUCUCAGGGUGGAUGGACAUCACCCGGACAGAGUGCAAAGGCACAAGAGAGCUUGACUGCAAGACGGACAGGUCGAGCAGGGACGAAAGUCGGACUUAGUGAUCCCACUAACCCGCGUGGAAGGUUGGUGGCUCAACGGAUAAAAGCUACCCCGGGGAUAACAGGCUGAUCUUGCCCAAGAGUUCACAUCGACGGCAAGGUUUGGCACCUCGAUGUCGGCUCGUCGCAUCCUGGGGCUGGAGUCGGUCCCAAGGGUUGGGCUGUUCGCCCAUGAAAGCGGCACGCGAGCUGGGUUCAGAACGUCGCGAGACAGUUCGGUCUCUAUCCGUCGUGGGCGUAGGAAGAGUGAGGGCAGUCAUCUUCAGUACGAGAGGACCGAGAUGGCUUGACCGCUGGUGUGCCAGUUGGGGGGCCUCCCCCACCGCUGGAUAGCUAUGUCAAGAAGGGAUAAGCGCUGAAGGCAUCUAAGCGCGAAGCCGCAUCCAAGACGACUCUUCCCAUCUCUUCGUGAGAUCAAGAUCCCAGAAAGAACAUCUGGUCGAUAGGCUGUCUGUGGACACCUGGUAACAGGCGCAGCCAAGCAGCACUAAUGAUCGUACGGCUUGUUU